rnacentral:tRNA from 1 species
UCCGGUAUAGUGUAGGUGGCUAUCAUACAUCGCUCUCACCGAUGAGACCGGGGUUCGAGUCCCCGUACCGGAA